GGGUCACAGAUGGCUGCUCAGGAGUGUCAGCGCAGGGAGGGAGAAAUAAACAGCGUCUGUCAGUACAGGAGACUCUGAGGAGGAUGACGUGAUGGCGUGGCGCAGGAGGACACAGUGUGACUGCCUGCGCCAGGACGCUGGAACUCAGGCAAUAGGCAACGACAAAGAGAGGAUUACAGAAACGAGAUACGGCUGGAAGAAAUAAUCAUGGAGGUCUGAACUUUGAAAGGAGAAGAUGAGGAAAGAGAACAUCUACAUCAGAGGAGACGUCACUGGAUGUAAG